rnacentral:rRNA from 1 species
UACGUAGGGUGCAAGCGUUAUUCGGAAUUACUGGGCGUAAAGCGUGCGCAGGCGGUUGUGCAAGUCAGAUGUGAAAUCCCCGGGCUCAACCUGGGAACUGCAUUUGUGACUGCACAGCUGGAGUGUGGCAGAGGGAGGUGGAAUUCCACGUGUAGCAGUGAAAUGCGUAGAGAUGUGGAGGAACACCGAUGGCGAAGGCAGCCUCCUGGGCCAGCACUGACGCUCAUGCACGAAAGCGUGGGGAGCAAACAGG